rnacentral:rRNA from 1 species
GAUUUUAGUGGCGAACGGGUGAGUAACACGUAAGCAACCUGCCUUUAAGACGAGAAUAACAAUUGGAAACAGUUGCUAAGGCUGGAUAGGAAAUAAAAAGGCAUCUUUUUAUUUUUAAAAGACCUUCUUCGGAGGGUAUGCUUAAAGAGGGGCUUGCGUCACAUUAGUUAGUUGGUAGGGUAAUGGCCUACCAAGACGAUGAUGUGUAGCUGGACUGAGAGGUUGAACAGCCACAUUGGGACUGAGACACGGCCCAAACUCCUACGGGAGGCAGCAGUAGGGAAUUUUCGGCAAUGGAGGAAACUCUGACCGAGCAACGCCGCGUGAACGACGAAGUACUUCGGUAUGUAAAGUUCUUUUAUUGAAGAAGAAACAAUAGUGGAAAAACUAUCUUGACGUUAUUCAAUGAAUAAGCCCCGGCUAACUAUGUGCCAGCAGCCGCGGUAAUACAUAGGGGGCGAGCGUUAUCCGGAAUUAUUGGGCGUAAAGGGUGCGUAGGCGGUUUAAUAAGUCUCUAGUUUAAUUUCAACGCUUAACGUUGUCCUGCUAGAGAAACUGUUUGACUAGAGUGAGAUAGAGGUAAGCGGAAUUCCAUGUGUAGCGGUAAAAUGUGUAAAUAUAUGGAGGAACACCAGAGGCGUAGGCGGCUUACUGGGUCUUUACUGACGCUGAUGCACGAAAGCGUGGGGAGCAAACAGGAUUAGAUACCCUGGUAGUCCACGCCGUAAACUAUGAGUACUAAGUGUCGGGGUUAAACUCGGUACUGAAGUUAACACAUUAAGUACUCCGCCUGAGUAGUACGUACGCAAGUAUGAAACUUAAAGGAAUUGACGGGAUCCCGCACAAGCGGUGGAUCAUGUUGUUUAAUUCGAAGAUACACGAAAAACCUUACCAGGUCUUGACAUACUCUGCAAAACUAUAGAAAUAUAGUGGAGGUUAUCAGGGAUACAGGUNGGUGCAUGGUUGUCGUCAGCUCGUGUCGUGAGAUGUUAGGUUAAGUUCUAAAACGAGCGCAACCCCUGUCGUUAAUUGCCAGCACGUUAUGGUGGGGACUUUAGCGAGACUGCCAAUGAAAAAUUGGAGGAAGGUGGGGAUUACGUCAAAUCAUCAUGCCCCUUAUGAUCUGGGCUACAAACGUGAUACAAUGGCUAUUACAAAGAGUAGCUUAAACGCGAGUUUUUGGCAAAUCUCAAAAAAAUAGUCUUAGUUCGGAUUGAAGUCUGCAACUCGACUUCAUGAAGUUGGAAUCGCUAGUAAUCGCGAAUCAGCAUGUCGCGGUGAAUACGUUCUCGGGGUUUGUACACACCGCCCGUCAAACCACGAAA